GUAGUCCACGCCGUAAACUAUGGAUGCUAGCUGUUAGAGGUAUCGACCCCUCUAGUAGCGAAGCUAACGCGUUAAGCAUCCCGCCUGUGGAGUACGAGCGCAAGCUUAAAACAUAAAGGAAUUGACGGGGACCCGCACAAGCGGUGGAGCGUGUUCUUUAAUUCGAAGGUAAGCGAAGAACCUUACCAGGGUUUGACAUCCCAAGAAGGUUUCCGAAAGGAAAUUGUGCCGCAAGGAAUUUGGUGACAGGUGUUGCAUGGCCGUCGUCAGCUCGUGUCGUGAGAUGUUUGGUUAAGUCCAUCAACGAGCGCAACCCUUAUAUUUAGUUGGAUUUUUCUAAAUAGACUGCCCCGGUAACGGGGA
rnacentral:rRNA from 1 species